AAAUGUCGGGCCUACUGAAUUUAGACUAUCUGCAGUCGAGCGGACAGAUGGGAGCUUGCUCCCUGAUGUUAGCGGCGGACGGGUGAGUAACACGUGGGUAACCUGCCUGUAAGACUGGGAUAACUCCGGGAAACCGGGGCUAAUACCGGAUGGUUGUCUGAACCGCAUGGUUCAGACAUAAAAGGUGGCUUCGGCUACCACUUACAGAUGGACCCGCGGCGCAUUAGCUAGUUGGUGAGGUAACGGCUCACCAAGGCGACGAUGCGUAGCCGACCUGAGAGGGUGAUCGGCCACACUGGGACUGAGACACGGCCCAGACUCCUACGGGAGGCAGCAGUAGGGAAUCUUCCGCAAUGGACGAAAGUCUGACGGAGCAACGCCGCGUGAGUGAUGAAGGUUUUCGGAUCGUAAAGCUCUGUUGUCAGGGAAGAACAAGUGCCGUUCAAAUAGGGCGGCACCUUGACGGUACCUAACCAGAAAGCCACGGCUAACUACGUGCCAGCAGCCGCGGUAAUACGUAGGUGGCAAGCGUUGUCCGGAAUUAUUGGGCGUAAAGGGCUCGCAGGCGGUUUCUUAAGUCUGAUCUGAAAGCCACCGGCUCAACCGGGGAGGGUCAUUGUAAACUGGCGAACUUGAGUUCACAAUAUGAGAGUGUACUUCCACGUGUAACCUU
rnacentral:rRNA from 1 species